rnacentral:rRNA from 1 species
AGCGAACGCUGGCGGCAGGCCUAAUACAUGCAAGUCGAACGGCUUCUUCGGAAGCAGUGGCGGACGGGUGAGUAACGCGUGGGAACGUGCCCUUUGGUACGGAACAACUGAGGGAAACUUCAGCUAAUACCGUAUGUGCCCUUCGGGGAAAGGAUUUAUCGCCAUUGGAGCGGCCCGCGUUAGAUUAGCUAGUUGGUGGGGUAAAGGCCUACCAAGGCAACGAUCUAUAGCUGGUCUGAGAGGAUGAUCAGCCACACUGGGACUGAGACACGGCCCAGACUCCUACGGGAGGCAGCAGUAGGGAAUCUUGCGCAAUGGGCGAAAGCCUGACGCAGCCAUGCCGCGUGAAUGAUGAAGGUCUUAGGAUUGUAAAAUUCUUUCACCGGGGACGAUAAUGACGGUACCCGGAGAAGAAGCUCCGGCUAACUUCGUG